UUUUGGACAAUGGGGGCAACCCUGAUCCAGCAAUGCCGCGUGAGUGAAGAAGGCCUUCGGGUUGUAAAGCUCUUUUGUCAGGGAAGAAACACCGGCUCUAACACAGUCCGGGAAUGACGGUACCUGAAGAAUAAGCACCGGCUAACUACGUGCCAGCAGCCGCGGUAAUACGUAGGGUGCAAGCGUUAAUCGGGAUUACUGGGCGUAAAGCGUGCGCAGGCGGUUAUACAAGACAGGCGUGAAAUCCCCGGGCUUAACCUGGGAAUGGCGCCUGUGACUGUAUAGCUAGAGUGUGUCAGAGGGGGGUAGAAUUCAACGUGUAGCAGUGAAAUGCGUAGAUAUGUGGAGGAAUACCAAUGGCGAAGGCAGCCCCCUGGGAUAACACUGACGCUCAUGCACGAA
rnacentral:rRNA from 1 species